rnacentral:rRNA from 1 species
CCCUUAGAUGCUCUGGGCCGCACGCGCGCUACACUGGUCGAUGCAACGAGUUUCUUUCCUUGGCCGACAGGCCUGGGCAAUCUUUGAACAUCGAUCGUGAUCGGGAUAGAUUCUUGUAAUUUUUGAUCUUAAACGAGGAAUUCCUAGUAAACGCAAGUCAUCAGCUUGCAUUGAUUACGUCCCUGCCCUUUGUACACACCGCCCGUCGCACCUACCGAUUGAGUGAUCCGGUGAAUAAUUCGGACUGCAGCACUGCUUGGUCUCCAGGCUUUGCAGCGGAAAGUUUAGUGAACCUUAUCACUUAGAGGAAGGAGAAGUCGUAACA